rnacentral:lncRNA from 1 species
GCUAGGGGUCAAAUCAGAGCUGCAACUGCCGGCCUACAUCACACCAGAGCAACAUGGGAUCUGAGCUGCAUCUGCUACCUACCCCACAGCUCAAGGAAACACUGGAUCCUUAACCCUCUGAACGAGGCCAGGGAUCAAACCCACAUCCUCAUGGAUACUAGUGAGAUUCUUUUCCACUGAGCCACCAUGGGAACUCACCAGGGUACAAUGGCUGGGCCCCCUAGUACCAUACAGUCAGAAUAGACCAGGGCGGUGUUUUAGCUGGCGAGGGCUGCCACAACAAAAUACCACAGACUGAGUGACUUACACAAUGGAAAUUUACUUCUCACAGUUCUGGAGGCUGAGGGUUCCCAGAUCAAGGGGCCAGCAAAGUAGGUUUCAAUCUGAGGCCUCUCAGAGAGGCUGGGAGGCAGCUGCCAUUUUGCUCUGUGCUCAGGUGACCUUGUGUGCGAGGGAGACAAAGCCAGAAAGAGGAAGCUCCAGCUCUAUGGUGUCUAUUUUGAUAGGGACACUAAUCCUAUCAGAUCAGUGCCCCACCCUUACGAUUUCAUUUAAUCCUAAUUACAGUCCUUAGAGGACCUAUCUCCAGAUACAGUCACAGUGGGGGUUUGGGCUUCAGCAUAUGGAUUUGGGGGCAGGGGGAAAACGAAUAUUCGAGCCAUAAUAGAAAACACUAUUUACCCAAAGAAGGCAGUUUGGUGGUCAGACAGGAAGGAAUUUGGGAGCCCUGGAUCCCCCAGUUAUUUUGUAAAGGACAUUUUAGAAAAUGUCCAGCACACGGGUUUCUUGUCUCCAUUACCCAGGAUCCACAAGGUCUCAUGUUCAGACAGAUUUUAUCAAACAACCUGCACUCAUAGUCACACUUCAUUCACUUUCCUAAGAGAUAUCCCAAAUUACAUAGAGUGGUAUGUUCGUUGAGAAGAUUCCAGGUCAAAAGAAAGACAUUCUCUGUUUUUGUUUGCAGUACAGCCUUAUUAUGGAUCGAUAUUAGAUUUCCAUGGGGUAUGUUGCAUUUGGCAAAUAUUGCUCAAGUUGGAAACCUAAAAAGAGCCCCAGCUUUGGAGGCAAAGACCCUUGCAUUCAAAUUCCAGCUGAGGGCCCAUGAGUAAGUCACUAGGUGGCUCUGAUCCUAUCUCCCUAUUGUAUGAUCACCUGCUUCCCAUCAUUAGUGAGGAUGGAGAUAAUGCAUGUGAAGCACCCACUCUGUGCUCAGCACAUAGUAGAAGCUUAGUAAGUUUAAGUUCCCUUCCUUUCCCACUAUCCUAAUGUAUUUGCUAAAUAUGGGGGAGAAGAGGUAUGGAGGAAUGGGCUGGGGAGAAUAACACAGGGGACGCUCCCGCUGUACCCUUCAGUCCUAGCCAAUCAAGUCUCUGAAUUAGGCUUCAGCUUUUAGUUUACAAAAUUAGGCAGGGUGGGUGGGAAGAGGAGGAGCUUGGAUUUGUUUGUUUUAGCUGGUCUUCUCUGCCAGGUUCCUGCCCACCCCACUACAUCAGCUCCCCUUGCUCUGAAGUUCUUUUGGUUAAGUUUCAAGGCUGUGCAAAGAAAGGUGGCGGGAGAGAGGGAGAGGCAUUUCCCCAAGACAGCCUGCAGGUGGCACCAGAGCAGCACAGGAGCUGAGCCUCGGUCUCCAGCGGUCAGGCGGAUCCAGCAAAGUGGGCACGGCAGGCAGAGGUGGUGGGCACCUCCCUGCAGGGCAGCGACACCUAGCCAGCGAGUUAGGCAGGGGCAUCUGUCCUCACCAUUUGAAAACGGCACAAGGGUCCUCUGGCUAAUUUCCUCUCUUUGGUAGGAUGAUCUGGGAUUUACUGUUCAAAUCCAGACACCGAUUCAUCACUCAAAAUCCAGCCGCUUCAGAGUGAAAGGGGCUGCUAUUAAUAAUUGCUCUGGAACAACAGGCUUAAUCUCGUGUCCCUGGCAAAGCAGAGCUUCCUGUCACCUUACCCUCAGGUCACUUUUUCUUCAUUGUUUCUGUUUCUUUCAAUUUUUUUUUUUAAAUACACUAUUCUUUUUUCCCAGUCUCCAUUAUCUCUGAAGCUGCCUUUGUAAUGGAUAGUUUAGACCUUGAAGCAUAUGCUUUAGCUUCUUAAGGCAGCAUGGAGUCUCUCUGAACCCACACCAAUGGCUGUCUUUAGCUUCCAGUUAGAAGAUGCUGUGUUCCCUGGGAUAACAACCCCACGGCUCAAGAGUUAAAGAUGCCAGACAGCGACCCUUAUCUCAAUUUCGAUGGGUGCCUCUUACAGUCUUCUUUGCUAAAUUUAUUCCUGUCAUUUUGUUCUGAGUGCUCAUGCCCUUUAUCUCUUUGAAUUUAACUAUUCUGAUUUAUUGAAUUACAAAUAGACAAGUCCCAUUAAACAGGAUUCUUAUAUUUUCCAAGAUCAUCCCACUACGCUAUUCAAUCUCAAAUUAGCAUGCCAUUUAUCCCCUUGUUUCGAAACCCUCUUCACUUAAUAGCCUCAUAAACAUCCAUCCAUUGCAAAAAGGGCUCAAACUUGUUCUCACUUCCAUUUUUAGUUGAUUCAGCAAUAUCCAAGUAAUGGGUUUGUCUGGGAAGUCAUUCGUAGAGAGCCAGUGCCCUUAGUCGUAUUUUUAGAGUUGGAUUUUGCUAGUCAAUAGCUUAUCUCUGUCUGUCAUUCACACUCACCCCAAAUGUCUAAAGAUUUCAGCCUUAACCUAAAAUCGAAGUUAGUCAUGUCAUUUUAGCUGAAUUAAGUAGAUCAUGGGAAAAAUAAAGUUUUAACUGAAAUUUUCUCAGCUAAGAACCUCAAUGGUCACAAAUAUGUGUGUAAGCAAGAAGAAAAUUAGGGUCUAAAUGUAUAAAAUCUUAAACUGUUAUUUAUAGAGACAAGGUUGCCCAUGUUUAUUUUUUCUUUGUUAGUGAAAUACAUUUUUAGGGCUGCACCAGCAGCAUAUAGAAGUUCCCAGGCUAGGGGUAGAAUUGGAGCCAUGGCUACCAGCCUACACCACAGCCACAGCAACGCUAGAUACAAGCUGCAUCUGUGACCUACACCACAGCUCCCAGCAAUGUCGGAUCCUCUGCCCACUGAGCAAGGCCAGGGAUUGAACCUGCAUCCUCAUGGAUGCUAGUCAGAUUCGUUUCCACUGAGCCAUGACGGGAACUCCAGUACACAUAUCUUAAGUGUACAAAUUUAUGACUUUUUGCAUAUGUACACACUUGUGUAACCAUGCCCACCCAGCUCAGGAUAUAGAAAGUUUCUUUCACCCUAAAAGUCUCCCUCAUGCCUGCUCCCAGUUGCUAUCCACUUCCGAAAUAACUGUUCUGACCUCCAUCAUCAUAAAUUAGUUUUGCCUGUUCUGCAACUUCAUAUAAAUGGAAUUACACCAUAUGUGCCCUUUUGUGGCUAGCUUCUUCCACUCAGCAUAAUGUGUGUAUGAUUUAUCCAUGUCACUGCUGUGUACUGGAAGUUACUUAUUUUUCAUUGCUGUAGUUUUCCAUAUUUUAUUUAUUACUCUCCAAUUUAUGUCUAACCCAAUGUCUUGUGGGGUCCGUUGGUCCUUUUGGCUAGAUUGAUAUUAAAAAUAUUUAUAUUAAUGAAGCAUCAAAAAUUUUAGAAGACAAAAGCCUGAGAACCAAAACCAUCUGAUCUUAAACCGAGUUUCUUUCUCAUGACUGCUUCAGGUGGUCUUCUUCUCAUGGUACUUUUCCUCACAAAAUAGAUAAAAAAUUAAGGAAACUUAAAACCUCAUUGUAUUAUCAGCUUAGGGAUAGCUGUCAUCUGGACAACAGGAUAGAAUAGUUACAAUCUGAAAGGCUGAAAUAACAAUGGUGAAUGCCUACAUAGUACUUAUGAGUGUUCGAAGUAUUUUACGUCUAUUAGUUAAUCCUUAAAACUAUGUUAUGAAGUCAGUACUGAAACAGGAGGGAAGGAGGCAGGGCACAACCCUUAAAGACUGACAUAGCCCUUGAGGGUAUAACAAAAACUGGUUAGAACCAAGAUGGCAGAAGAUCUGAUUUCCAGUGGACCCUGAACCUCAUUAUACACUCAUUUAAAAACAUUAGCAUAUGCUAAAUGAUAUGCUCUCAGUGCCAUGACAGUUUUGAAACCGACCAUCAAAGGCCGAAAAGUGGGCAAUGGCCCAAAUCCUGGAACCCCUUGCCCCUUCUCCAAAAGAGUUAUAAUAAUCCUCCCAACCCAUUAGCCUAUGCUGUUACCCCGCUCAUAAAAGCUAACCACACCAUAUUUCAGGGCCUCCUGCCUCCUGAGACAGUCCACACUCUACCACAAAUCGACUUCUUACCUAGCACUUUGCCUCCUCCUGAAUUCCUUCUGCGCUGAGACAUAAAGAACCUCAACUUCAGGUCCUGAGUCUUGCAGUGGGUCUAAUUGAUAGAAUCCCAUCUGAGCUUUGUGGUUUCAAUACUAAUAUUGUUUUGUUUUGUUUUGUUUGUCUUUUGUCUUCUCAGGGCCAUGCCCCCAUGGCAUAUGGAGGUUCCCAGGCUAGGGGUCUAAUUGAUAGGGAUGGAGUAGGCACUGGUAGUUGUGGAAGUCCCAAUAAAGGACCACGGAUAACGAGGGAAACUUAGGGGAUGUUGGGAGAUCACUGUAAGUAAAUAAAUUGCUCAAAAAAAAGCCAUCAGCACAAGGCAGUCUUGCUUGACUAGUGGAAGUGCAGGAAUUGCCUCAGGUCCUUGAGUGAGUGGUGGGAUGAGGCCUGCAUUCUGAUUCAGACCUAGGGCAUGAGUUUGAGGACCGCCCUUCUGCUGAUUUGAAUACACAACUUACCGGACACCAAGGAGGAGCUAGUACUCCCAGAAAGGAAAAGGCAGGCUUUUCUGACCCCCACUCCCCUUGAAGGAUAGAACUGUAGCCCACCGGAUGCUCAGGCAGAGCUUCCUUGCCUGCUCGCUUGCAUCUCUCACAAGCAUCUUUUCCUAAUCUAUUUCUUACUUAUCACUUUGUCUCUUGCUGAAUUCCUUCUGCGUAGAGACAUGAAGAAGCUGCACCUCAGUGAGUCCAGACACAUUGUGAAUGAUUCUAAUUUAAAACCGUGGGCUUAAGUCCCAAUCUGGGUUUAGGCUGUGUUCGAGUCCUGGCAUGUGGGUUCAAGUCCCAAUCUGUGUUCUGGCUAGGGUCAGGCCAUUAGUACUGUCCAUUUCAUAAGCAGAGCUGUAGCUGCCGGCCCACACCACAGUCACAGCAAUGCAGGAUCCAAGCCUCACCUGCAACCUACACCACAGCCCAUGGCAACGCCAGAUCCUUAACCCACUGAGCAAGGCCAGGGAUCGAACCCGCAACCUCAUGGUUCCUAGUUGGAUCUGUUUCUGCUGUGCCACAACAGGAAACCCUCAAUACGAAUAUUGUUAUGCUCACAAUAUUUUCAGUGGGGAAACUGAGACACUGAGAGGCCGAGUAAAUUUCCUGAGGUGGCAGACCCAGAAUUUGAACCUGAGCAGUCCAGUUUCAGAGCCCUCAUUCUUCACCACCAUCUUGUGCAGCGUGAUGUAUUUUCUCCUAUUAGCCUGGUAGCACUUUCCAAAUAAUUCCAAUCUUAUAAAUUUGCUUCAAAGUAUAUGACUAAAUUAAAGUGGAAGAUCUAAUAUGGAAUGUGUGGCAUUCAUGAAUAAAUGAUAAGACUCUCUGGUUUUAAAUAAUAAUUAUUUUCUUAUCUUGUGACUUCUGCCAAUAGGGCUAUGGUGUGCCAAACUUCAUUUCGCUUCUCUUUAACGGGAGGAGACGGGCUCGGUGAGAGGCACGAUUUAUCAUAAAAUCUCAUCAGCCUUAUCAUCUGGAAAGCUGGAGACAGGUUUGUAGAGUUUUAACUGGUUGAGACAGAGCUGAAUGCCACUGGCAGCAGAGUGAGUUUAAGAAAGAUGGGUUUUCCCUUCAAUUCUAUUGCACGGGGUCAUGUG